UGGAGUCAACUCCUCUCAAAUGGAUCAGCUUGCCAGUGUUUGGUGGCAUCACGGGUGUGAUAAAUAUCUACGCUCAUGGCCGUCCACCAGGUAACUUCCAGCGAUGGAGGUUCGCUGGAGCUUAUAAACGUCUCUCCUCAGCGAGGACAGCUUUUUGAACGUUCGAUCUCAAAUCAGGUAGGACUACCCGCUGAACUUAA
rnacentral:misc_RNA from 1 species